GGGCGUGUGGCUCAGUUGGUAGAGCGUUCGCUUAGCAUACUUACUCAUUCGUUUGAGUUUCUGUAUGCGAAAGGUCCUGGGUUCGAUUCCCAGCUCGUCCA